rnacentral:rRNA from 1 species
AACGUAGGUUCCGAGCGUUAUCCGGAUUUACUGGGCGUAAAGCGCGUUCAGGCGGUUUGGCAAGUCGGGCAUGAAAUCCUUCGGCUCAACCGGGGGAGGUUGUCCGAUACUGCUAAACUGGAGGGCAGUAGAGGGUGGUGGAAUUCCGGGUGUAGUGGUGAAAUGCGUAGAUAUCUGGAGGAACACCGGUGGCGAAGGCGGCAUCCUGGACCAACACUGACGCUGAGACGCGAAAGCGUGGGGAGCGAACAGG